GACGAACGCUGGCGGCGUGCUUAACACAUGCGAGUCGAACGGAAAGGCCCUGCUUUUGUGGGGUGCUCGAGUGGCGAACGGGUGAGUAACACGUGAGUAACCUGCCCUUGACUUUGGGAUAACUUCAGGAAACUGGGGCUAAUACCGGAUAGGAGCUCCUGCUGCAUGGGGGGGGUUGGAAAGUUUCGGCGGUUGGGGAUGGACUCGCGGCUUAUCAGCUUGUUGGUGGGGUAGUGGCUUACCAAGGCUUUGACGGGUAGCCGGCCUGAGAGGGUGACCGGCCACAUUGGGACUGAGAUACGGCCCAGACUCCUACGGGAGGCAGCAGUGGGGAAUAUUGCACAAUGGGCGGAAGCCUGAUGCAGCAACGCCGCGUGCGGGAUGACGGCCUUCGGGUUGUAAACCGCUUUCGCCUGUGACGAAGCGUGAGUGACGGUAAUGGGUAAAGAAGCACCGGCUAACUACGUG
rnacentral:rRNA from 1 species